AAAGUUGACAGUCCUGUUCAAACGUGUUUUUGUUCUGUUCGCAAACAAUUUAAUGUUGUUUCGCGAUAAUCACAUAUUUUGUAAAAGUAAACCGCUCAAUUAUCGGUUCGUUCGCCUUUUUCAAUGCUAAAUGCAGUUUUUAUUAUCUCUAUAUUCCGGCGAAGGGAACAUCAGGAAUGUUUGCCAUACAAACAAACCAAUUCACGUAUCUUUUUGCAAGCCACGGAACUAUCUAAUUCCGACAAAAAUAGCUAUGCUGUAAAUGCUUUUAAUCUGCUGCAAAGAUAAUUUUCCAUCAACUACGUGAAAUCUAGGAUUGAUUUUAAGGUUGUGUCGGUUGUACAGACAGUCGAAGCUUUCCAAAAACCAAACAUUCCGAUGGCAAAACUGAAGGCCAGCUUCAGAACUUGAUUCACGGGUUCAAUUGAGUUAUAAUUGCAAAAUGCCUUUGUUUUCAAUGUGAAACUCAAAGUAUAGGAGAAUAAGUUCGGAUAGUUGUUCCCUCUUGUGCGAUUGUUAUUCGGAGCAUUUUCAUUUCGCACAUACGGAAAUGGUCGGCCGAUUUCCAGUACAGAGCGGAACUGACUAUGGCAUUGCUUGUAGCAAAACAUCCAGAUUUAUUCGGAUUAUUGGCCACACUCUCGCAAUAUUUGACAAAGGUUCGUUUUAUCAACAAAACAUCAGCUUUGGUACUACAGUACUUACGCUAAUGAGGAUCCACAAUAAGAACAUCUGCAAUGUCAAACAGAUGCAGCAGUUGUGUGAUACCUAUUGAGGUGCAAGUAAUGGUCAAAGUAAUAGGUGACAAUAUGCUGUGUUGACAAGCGAAUGCAUGGAUACAGCUGCGGUUCGUGUCAUAGAUGUUAUAAUCUCUUACACUAAUAAAUAACCACAAUCAUGGCAACUUAUUGGUACAGUUAUAUAAGGAAUUUGGUGCGAAUAAUACGGUCAACGAGCUGGACCCAAAUUGAAGACUGAACACUUAUCAGCAAUACAGCCCAACUUUUCCGGCCAAAAGCACCUGAAGGAAUUUGUUAAGAAACGCCCUCUGUACAUGCCAGUCGACCUGUUCGGAUGUUAUUAACUAACGCUGCCACCUAUGUACCCGUAAACGGGAACUCAACUGCUUGAUGGUUGCCAUCGAUAAGAAUCAGCCGUUUUAACGCAGUAUUCAGAGUGAUUCUCAUGAUACUAUCAAUUGCUGAUUUCGCUAGUCUACCGGGAUGACGAGUUUGUCAAACAAUGACAAGUUACUCCAAGAGAAACUCGGGCAAGCCACUCAAAAAUACACAGCAGCAGAUAUAUUUACAGGUUAACAAUCAGGAUCAUUAUACAUCAUCGAAUAUAUCUGCGGAUGGUGGUUAGGUAUAGACUGAAUCACUAUUUUCCUGGGCAGAUACGUGAUGAAUAAGAAGGAGCACCGUGGAAAGUCGAGAUGAUGUACUCUAAUCGAUGACACAGGAUGCGCUAAAGAUUAGAUACACGCCGAAAGAAUUCGUCAAGCGAUUUGGAGCCGAAGAAUACAUGUUUCUUGGAAACCAAGGGUGUAACUUAAGCUAUUGAGUAUCAUUGUCGACCACUGCAGAAGCACAAAUUUGCAACUACCAUUUGCAGAACGGGAGCGACACCGCUCAACGGCAGUAACUUGCUGACCCUGACAACUCAAGGUGUAGCUCAAGUUCGUUCCAACAUAAUCAGAGCCAACUAUUUUCAAAUAAUUAUACCCUGUGACUUCGUUCACCAAAAUUAUUCAAUCGAUAGAUCAUCGAGGUGAUGGCACACACAGUAAGAUGUGCAAUUAGCUAAAUCCGAUCGGCAAAUAGGCAAGAAGCAAUGUGUGGGAAAUAAUUAUUUCUGUAGUAUACAUACAUUUCGAUUACUGUUACAACCACUGAGAACAUCUGACAUUGGAAUGUACUUCUUUGUCUAGUAAAGAUAAAGCUAUAGUUGGUAAAGAGCCCUAACAUGCAUCAUCGACAUAGGAAGUUAUUGUGUGCAUAAUGCGGACUAUAUUAUAUCGCUCACCGAUAUGCACGGUAGAAUCUACAUGUCUUCAAUCCGACCAAAAGACCUUUUUGUUAAGCACCUAUUCUACGAACCGCUCAUUAUCAUGGUCGUGCACAUAACCCAACUAUUGGCUGACGACAACAAGCAAUCUUUAAUAACUGUUGAGGACGGAUGAAUUGAUAUCCUCCGUGCUAUGCUGCCACGUUUCGAUUAUAGUAGUACCAAUAAAUUAUCCAGGCGGUUAGCGGUGUGGAGCGUAAGAUGUUUAUUCUGAGAAUAUUGGCAAGGUCUCAAACUUUCGGUAUGGUUUGUUUAUGAGGUACAGUUUCAACAGUUGCAUGUUGCAUCAUGAGCCGGAGCCGACUCGUAAACUUAUAUUUGUGGUUCAAUAGAAGCAUGUCUUCACUACCCACAUGCGCAAGAGCAAAGCUGGCCGGGUAACAUCUUGUAAGAGGGUGAACGUCUGCAAUACGCUCCUAAUCGACAUAAAUUUUUGUACGUGCAUUUACCAGGGAAUACCCUGUACCAGCCAAUCAUCGCAUUACUUCGUUCUACAACUACUUCAAACCCAAGGUUUUGUACUUUACGUAUCUGUUGUUUCACACGUAUGCUCGGCGUAACUAUUCGGUUCUGAUUCGGAACAACGACAGCAGUACGGUACUCCUUCUUGAUCAAGCUGGCUGAUGCAAGCUUUGGUGAAAUCGAUGAAACUCGCAUGUUCCCGAUCAAAAUUGACCUGUCCAGAAUCUAUUUAUUGGGAGUACCAUUGGACCACGACUGAUAUCAAAACUGCAAUAUAGCUCGAGGUCGACGAGUUCCAAUGCUUCACAUAUUAUUGUCCUGUGUACUAGUUUAUCUUAGCGCGCGCGAAAUUAGAUUGCAUUUGUAAACGAUUUCAUUUUACCGGAAACAGAACGUUUCUAGAUGGUUAUCUUACUCAAGCAGUUCGUCAAAGAUCCAACGAUUAGCGCAAUGGCAGUUACAAUUAAGCACUAUUCUUUAAAAAAUCUGACAAAUAAAUUUAAAAAAAUGU